ensembl:lncRNA
GUGGGGCCUCAGGCACUGCCUCGUCCGCCAUUGGGGAGCCGCGGUCGCUCAACUCGAGGUGUAACCCUGCCGACUACGCCAAAAUCUGUCGCCGGUCAGAGCGGACCACCCAUUUAACGGGUCUCGCUCCUCCCUCUAACUUCCACCUCGAGGAGGUCCCACAACACCCCAAUGAACGGACAGACAACCAAGAUUAAAAUUUAACAAUUUUAAUUAUUUAAAAGUUUGGGGAAAGGGGAGGGGGAAACUUUAAAACUACUAAUGACUCGUACUAUUCUUCUGUCCACAGAUACGGAUUCCAGUCCUCAAUAACACUCCUCUUCAGCCCUUGCUCGGCACACUCCACUUCAGCCCUCAAUUUCCAGCCGACUCCACUCCAGGUAAGUGUAAGGCAAGAGCCAGGCAGUUGAUGUACAGGGAUUUUCUGGCUCUAGGGGAGGGGGGGAUGGACUUCAAGACCCAAGGCUGAGCUGUUAGCACGCAGGAGUUCUAGCUCUCAGGUAAGCACAAAGUUCAAUACACAGGUGAGUAUUCACAGGGCUGGGCUGUUAGCGUGCAGGGGUUCUAGCUCUCAGGUAAGCACAAAGUUCAAUACACAGGUGAGUAUUCACAGGGCUGGGCUGUUAGCGUGCUACUCACCACUGAAGAUAUUCAGAGGUCGGUGUUCCCAGCGGAUACGGGUUUUGGUCGAUGACUGACGGCUGGUGGGCCUUACAGGUGAAACUGCGAACAACACUGGGCUUCCCACCCAGCUUGGCAAGGGGACACACGGGGGAGGAUCGGCUGCUGUCCUUCGCUUCCCUCGUCGAAGAGACAGCACAGACGACACGCACAAGGCCGGUGGUUGCUAACAAGGCCAAUGACACAACGUCACGUGGAUGAAAAGGUAAGGCUUUGAUUUGAAAGCUUACAGAGAUCGCUGUGUGGGCGACGUCAUCCAACCUCCUCCAGAGGCGCCUCCAACACGUCCAAGCUCCAGCUUACUUAAAGGAAAGGCUGUGGUUGCCACCAAUACACUGCUCCUCUCUGUCAGGCCUCUUCCUACGACCGGGGACACAGCCACAGACAAACACCACACACCACAAAGGCACUACAAUUCUUCUCGUGUGUACACUUCAAUACAGCAGCACUCACCGCACUCCACACACUCAGUGAAAGAAGAUCCGUGGUGUAGUCCCGUUUCGGGCUCAGAGUCCUGGCGGGGCGUGUCAGAUGGACAUAGGCAGGGGGCAAACCACAGCAGGCGUAUAUAUCGUACACCGGAGCCUCUCCGACCUUCCCAGCGAUCUCCAACACAAGGCACCACUAUCAACACUGAGUAAACACACAAACACUGAGGAUUAUUAGAUCAGCACAAG